AGUGAACGCUGGCGGCAGGCUUAACACAUGCAAGUCGAGCGCCCCGCAAGGGGAGCGGCAGACGGGUGAGUAACGCGUGGGAACGUACCCUUUGCUACGGAAUAGCUCCGGGAAACUGGAAUUAAUACCGUAUGUGCCCUACGGGGGAAAGAUUUAUCGGCAAAGGAUCGGCCCGCGUUGGAUUAGCUAGUUGGUGGGGUAAUGGCCUACCAAGGCGACGAUCCAUAGCUGGUCUGAGAGGAUGAUCAGCCACAUUGGGACUGAGACACGGCCCAAACUCCUACGGGAGGCAGCAGUGGGGAAUAUUGGACAAUGGGCGCAAGCCUGAUCCAGCCAUGCCGCGUGAGUGAUGAAGGCCUUAGGGUUGUAAAGCUCUUUCACCGGAGAAGAUAAUGACGGUAUCCGGAGAAGAAGCCCCGGCUAACUUCGUGCCAGCCGCCGCCGUAA
rnacentral:rRNA from 1 species